rfam:Freshwater sediment metagenome lwFormaldehyde_BCIB27848_g1, whole genome shotgun sequence.
CCUGAUGUUCUGCCAUCAGUAUCCUACCAGGCGGUGCGUCGCUGGUAACGGCGGGGUGCUAAGCGCCUGGGACACGUGUAACCUCAUCCUUCGGGAUGGCAACUUAAUCGUGAGAAGCGGUUGCGACUGCCAGCAUCAAGGCGGUUGGGAAC